rnacentral:pre_miRNA from 1 species
UAUAAGGGAUUUUGAGUUUUUGUUUGUACUGUUUGACCACUCGUCUUAUUCAAAAAAAUUUAGAAUUAUUAUUCAUUUUUGUGACUUACUUUAUUAUCCAAAGUACUUUAAGCACAACUUUUCGUUUUUUAUAUUUGCACAAAUUUUUUGAAUAAGACGAGUGGUCAAACAGUGCAAGUAAAAAUUCAAAAUCCCUUAUA